GAUGAUGGAGAAGAGAAAGAGCUCAUGGAGCGUCUUAAGAAGCUCUCAGUGCCAACCAGUGAUGAGGAGGAUGAAGUACCCGCCCCAAAACCCCGCGGAGGGAAGAAAACCAAGGUAAGCCAUCUGUGUGGUAAACGGAGACUCCAAGGAUGCAACCUUGACCAUCCUACUGACUUCUGUGGCCCUUUCAUUCUCUAGGGUGGUAAUGUUUUUGCAGCCCUGA
rnacentral:lncRNA from 1 species